AGGAGUCUAACAUCUAUGCGAGUAUUUGAGUGCAAAACUCUGAUGCGCAAUGAAAGUAAAGGCAGCCUCGGCUGCUGAGGUAGGAAUCCGGGUAAAAGCGGAGGCACUAUCGACCGAUCAUCACUUGUGAAAGAUUUGAGUAAGAGCAUAUCUGUUGGGACCCGAAAGAUGGUGAUCUAUGCCUGAACAGGGUGAAGUCAGGGGAAACUCUGAUGGAGGCUCGUAGCGAUACUGACGUGCAAAUCGUUCGUCUGAUUUGGGUAUAGGGGCGAAAGACUAAUCGAACCAUCUAGUAGCUGGUUCCCUCCGAAGUUUCCCUCAGGAUAGCUGGAACUUAUACAGUUUUAUCAGGUAAAGCUAAUGAUUAGAGGUUCCGGAGCUGAAACAGCUUUGACCUAUUCUCAAACUUUAAAUAGGUAAGAAGUCCCGUGUUACUUAACUGAACCGGGACAUCGAAUGGAAGUUCUUAGUGGGCCAUUUUUGGUAAGCAGAACUGGCGAUGCGGGAUGAACCGGACGUUGAGUUACGGUGCCAAACUAUUCGCUCAUCUAGAUCCCUCAAAAGGUGUUGGUUCAUUUAGAC
rnacentral:rRNA from 1 species